CGAGCACGCGCGUGUGGCAUAUCAAUAAGCGGAGGAAAAGAAACUAACAAGGAUUCCCUUAGUAACGGCGAGUGAAGCGGGAAGAGCUCAAAUUUGAAAUCUUCAAGGGUUCUACCUUGACGAAUUGUAGUUUAAUAGAAGUGUUUUCUGUUAGAUGGAGGUGGCUAAAAGUUCUUUGGAAUAGGACAUCAUAGAGGGUGAGAAUCCCGUAUUUGGUCAUUCCUCCUAGCGUUGUGAUACACUUUCAACGAGUCGGAUUGUUUGGGAAUGCAGUCCAAAAUGGGUGGUAAAUUUCAUCUAAAGCUAAAUAUUGGCGAGAGACCGAUAGCGAACAAGUACCGUGAGGGAAAGAUGAAAAGAACUUUGAAAAGAGAGUUAAACAGUACGUGAAAUUGUCAAAAGGGAAGCGUUUGACACCAGUGUUGUUUUUCCGAAAAUCAAUUACGAAUGUUUUAUUUUUGAGGAGUUAUGACUUCAUCGGCUUGCUCCUUUCUUUAUGAAACUUUCUUAAUGCACUUUUCGGUUAACAAGUUAACAUCAAUUUCUUUUGUUGUAAAAGGGUAUGAGGAAGGUGGCUUUCCUUUUCGGAGAAAGUGUUUAUAGCCUUGUGCCUCUGCAAUCGGAGAGAUUGAGGUCUGCAGCGUAGAUCCUUCGGGGUUAGAUACGUUUGUGCUAAGUUAUAGCUUUUCAUAGACAACUUGUUGACUAUGUUUAGUCUUGUAGCUUACUCGCUGACGCUAUUUUACCUACGCUUAGGAUGUUGAGUCAUCACACAUCUCU
rnacentral:rRNA from 1 species